ensembl:snoRNA
GGGGUGUGCUCAGAGCAGGGGGCCUGAAGAAUGGCUCCUCUGAUUACACACACCCAACAGAAAUCAGGGCUCGUAGUGAUGAGGGGCAUAAAAUUGUGGCCUCGCUACAGAUAAAGGCCCUACAUGU